rnacentral:RNase_P_RNA from 1 species
GUGAGUUAGAGAGCUGGCUUCGGAACUCUGCCAUUAAAUUGGCUGAAUCUACUUAUGAGAUUUGAGUUCUGAGGAAGGUCCGGACAUCCUUUUCUCUUUGAGAAAAGAUAAAGCGAUCAGUGAAAGCUGAUGGUUGUAAAGCCAAGCUCCGCAACAGAAACGACACAGCCUUGAGUGCGCAAUGAUCAUUGAAGGGAGCAUGCCUUAAGGAUUUGAUGAAACGAGCGACUUCGCUGAUGCAAGUGCCAAAGCCGCACGCAAAGACAGAUGCCAUCACAAACUGUUUGUCUUGAAAAAGAAACAAAGUCUGACAGAAUCUGGCCUACUCUAACUCAC